rnacentral:rRNA from 1 species
UACGAAGGGGGCUAGCGUUGCUCGGAAUUACUGGGCGUAAAGGGAGCGUAGGCGGACUGUUAAGUUAGAGGUGAAAGCCCAGGGCUCAACCUUGGAAUUGCCUUUGAUACUGGCAGUCUUGAGUACGGAAGAGGUAUGUGGAACUCCGAGUGUAGAGGUGAAAUUCGUAGAUAUUCGGAAGAACACCAGUGGCGAAGGCGACAUACUGGUCCGUUACUGACGCUGAGGCUCGGAAAGCGUGGGGAGCAAACAGG